rnacentral:rRNA from 1 species
AUUGAACGCUGGCGGCAGGCCUAACACAUGCAAGUCGAGCGGAUGAAGGGAGCUUGCUCCUGGAUUCAGCGGCGGACGGGUGAGUAAUGCCUAGGAAUCUGCCUGGUAGUGGGGGAUAACGUCCGGAAACGGGCGCUAAUACCGCAUACGUCCUGAGGGAGAAAGUGGGGGAUCUUCGGACCUCACGCUAUCAGAUGAGCCUAGGUCGGAUUAGCUAGUUGGUGGGGUAAAGGCCUACCAAGGCGACGAUCCGUAACUGGUCUGAGAGGAUGAUCAGUCACACUGGAACUGAGACACGGUCCAGACGCCUACGGGAGGCAGCAGUGGGGAAUAUUGGACAAUGGGCGAAAGCCUGAUCCAGCCAUGCCGCGUGUGUGAAGAAGGUCUUCGGAGUGUAAAGCACUUUAAGUUGGGAGGAAGGGCAGUAAGUUAAUACCUUGCUGUUUUGACGUUACCAACAGAAUAAGCACCGGCUAACUUCGUG